rnacentral:misc_RNA from 1 species
UACUAAUAGGAAUUCCUAUCUAGACUUCAAUCAUGUUUCAUGUUUUAUGUCAUUGAGUUAAAAAGUUCAUGUUUCAUAGAAUGUUGGCUCUUGGCAAUUCAAUACUUGGAUUUCCUUUUGUUUUUACUCUCUUUUAUUCCAUUUUUGCCAUUUUGACUUUUUUUUUCUUCCUUGGAUAGUUGGUUCUAGAAGGUAGAAUACAUGUGAUUUGUCUGUUGAGAAUAAUGAUAAAAUUAAAUUAGUAUGGGAAGCCUUAAAACUCGCUUGGUUCAGUCAAUGCUUCAAUGCAUCUUAUCUAAUUGGUAUGUGAUUUGCUGGUCAUUGAAAAAUAAUGUUAUGAAUUAGAAGAUUCAAGAUGCUACUGUUUUCUUAUUUAUUUAUUUUCCAAAUUGCGUAAAUGUGUUAUGUGGACUUAUGUUUGAAACACCUUAUAUAAUUUCGUAUUGCACAUACGAUGUGAGUGGUUUCAUGUCCUCAUUAAAACAAAUAAUAAUAAUAAUAA